AAAUAACCCAAAACCCCGAGAAAAAACGAGAUUGAAAACCCCGAGUUUUAUUGAAUUGAUUUUGUUUUUAGAUUUAAUAACCCGACAGAAUUGGUUUGGUUUGAUAAUUGUAAAAUUCGAACCAACCCGACCUAUGUACACCCUAGUGCAGAGUCAGAGGCGCUACAAAAUUUAAGGUCUAUGGGUUUUGGGAGGUUACUCCGUUUAAAUUACUGAAUUCCAACUUAAUAAUCUGUACAUAUUUAAUGAAUUUCUUAAAACACAGAAUUUAAAUUAAGGUUAUUGGAUUCGACCGAACCCCAAGAUGUAUGCUAGCUCCGCCUAUGAGUGCAAUUCCAAUACAAGAAAAUACCCUGAAUAAUCUUCAGAUAUCUCUUUUUUCUUUUUCUUUUUGAUGUAAAAUUUUAAAUACUUCUUGUGAUUGAAAAUGAAAAACCUAUCCUCUGGAAAGAAAGUGGUCUGGUCACUCUCCAUCAGGAUGGCCUUUCAGAGAAAGGAAAGAAAAGCAUCAAAGUUUUGAGCUUCAAGUGGUCAAAAAAGCAUUGAAAAAGAAAUUCCUCAAGUAUUUUCAUUGUGGUCCCAAUUUUGCCAGGAUCUGCCUCAAAAUUUAAGUUUCAACUUACUGCAAUUUGUACAAAUAUAUAACAGUAAUCAACAAGAAUCUAUAAAAGAAACACACCCAGAAUACUUAGGCUAGGUUCUACCUAGUUGAAAUGAUGUUAAGCAUAGCCAGAAUCUUGAUCAAAAUAUAUGCAAGGCUUUGAUUUCAAGUUUUCUACAUUUACCAUAUUCUUGAAUAAAAAUGUCUAAUCAUCAAGUAAAACUUUAGUUAGUGCAAAUCUCUAGAAACUAGAAUAUAGAGUCAUUACUUAGAAGGGGAACAAACUUGUCAUAUCUCUUCUAAGCCAUUCAUCCGCUAAAACCAACCAAAGAAGAAGUGAUUUUAGUACUACACAAGCAAAUAUAAUAGCAUCCACAUGGGGCAAUAACAAAAAGAAUUGAGAAUGAGAAAAUUCAUCAUAUUCCAACCAUGUCCAAGCAACAUUAUUCUACAUUUCGCUUUUCGGCUUAGUUUAUAAAAACAUGAUUGCCUGAUAACUAUUAUCCAGGAUGGUAUAAACUGAGCAUCCGAGUUAAUGACAACAGGCUGAUGUUGGAGACUCCAAAGCAUACUACAUAAUCAGGUUUACUUACAAGGAGCAAUAGUCAUGAAGCAUUUGAAUAUUUUCUUGACAAAUUGUCUGCAUAUUCAGAGACUUACAUGACUUGAAUUUCAAACGGCGAGAAAAGGACUUAUCUAACUCAAAUUUUGAAGUGAGUAGGAAAAAAAUGUUUACCCUAGGAAUUCCAGGUCGUCUUCUCUCCGCUGGAGAUGUCAAGUGUCUUCCACAUACAAGAUGACGAGAUACUAUGUAACCUGAGGAAAGGUUGCCAGCAACUCCCCUUUCAAAUACAUCACAGACAACAUAGAUCUUGAGCGCCACUCUGUUGAAUUUAACAUCUAUAUUCUUGUUCUUUUGUUGUACACGAGAGUUCACUCAUAACAUGGAGAUGCAAGUAAAACUUUAGGAUGAUUGUGUUGUUUCAAUCACCAUACACAAAUUAACAAAUAGAUAAAUAAAUAAAAAAUUUAAAAAUCACCAUUCAUUGAACAUGCACUAUUUCAGGAACAUUGAUUUUACUCAACAGUUGACAUAUAUUCACAAAGGUUGUCGCAGUCUUUUGUGGAUUUAGGAGCAGAUGCUCUGCCACAAUCAGUAUUAAUAAACUUCUAUCCUUAAGUACAUACACCAAUGUAGACACGUAAUUAUACCCAUGUAUGCGCAAUAAGCACAAAUGAGAUUUUGAAAAACAACACAACUUUACACCAAUCACCAGAAUGUCCAUGUCUUUACAAAUAAUAGUAGGUUCAAGUCAUAAACGAAAAGGGUUACAUAUUCAUUACUGAAUACCGACAAUACUAGUCAGGAAGUUAAUUGAUUCAUUCUCCCACUUGUAAUUUGGCAGUCUCCUCAAGAAAUGACAUAAUCUGUGAAACGUGUAGAAUUUAAUAGGACAGGCACCCAAUCAGUAGGCACACGCAGAAACCAUAUCUUCAACACGGCUUAGAGUUCCACUUUGUGAGGAUUCUUAACUAUAGCAAUUUUUUCAAAAUUUCAUGAGGCUUUUUAAGAAAGAAAGAACUGUAUAAAGCCAGCUGUAGAUGUUCAUAAAGAAAUAAAUAAAUAAGAACUAGUCUCCAAGGCUGGGAUUUUCAAACAGAUGCUUAUGUCUAUGAGAUGAGCCUGAAAUAAUCCAACAAUGAAUAGAUCAGCUUAGCAACCAACAUAAUUUGGAUCCGCUCCUAAAUAAAUUUAACGUAAAAGAAUUUCAUGAAGAUAUUGCUCAACUACUGACUAACGUGAUCCACAACCAACUAAAUGUGGAUUGUUUGAUCGAUGUCCCAGUGUAUUUAGGGUCUGAUUUAGGCGAAAGACAAGCAAUUCCAGGGCUUUUUUCUUUGACUAAUUUUCAGAUUUUGUACAAUUAUGUACAGCUUAUGAUUAGUGAAUUCAGGGCGAUACCCUGCUUCGCCUUUGUUUCUCCAAAACUUUCGUUAGUUAAAAAAAACUCUUUGAUUCAACAAAUAAUACAUAUGCACCAAAAUCCAAACUUUUCACAAAUACCUAAAAACUGAUAAGCAUAAUAAAGGAAUGUUCAUGAUAAUGGAAAUGCAAUAUAAAGUUUUCAAAAAUUAAUCACCUGAUUUUCUUUAAGAGAAACACGAAAUAUAUAUUAAUCCCGCUUUGGCAAUUACCACAAAUUAAAGCAAAAGAAGAAGGGGAUGGAAGACACAGUAACUUAUGAGAUUGUUAAAGAAUGGUCAAUUACAUAACUGAAAGAACCAGAUUGUUUCCUUUUAAGCAAAUUAAGAUCAGCCAAGUGCAAUAAUCCAGGGAACUUGAAAUUAUGCAAUAACUUGAGGAGCAAAAAAGCAAGUUGUCCUGGAAAUUCUCUUAUCAACACCCAAAAAUUGUACCAGCUCAACUUGAUGUUGUAUUUAAAUAGUUCCCUUUCUAACUGGAUUCAUAUCAUAAAGAGUAAUCAAUUUAAAGAUGGACAACGGUACAUACUUGUUAAGUUGUUAUGUGCUCGACUUGUAUUUUUCAAAAUCGUGAAUUUUCAUUUGUGCUGAGACUCCUGAAGUGCACUGUUAAAGCUACAUCUGCAUUAAAAGGCAAAUGUGCUUAACCGAACCAAUGUUGGCAGACCACUUAAGAUACAAGUAGAAUUGAACCACCAAGGACUGAGAUGUUUUGUAUCUGCACGAAUACUUGACCAAGCAAGAGGUCAUAAUAUUGUAAGAGACCACAAGGGAAGGAAUUCAAGCAUGCAUAAAUGGAGGACUAAGAAGACAAGUUGCAUUUUGCAAAAUACUCACUCUACUCGUAUAAACUCUUUUCUCCCAGAUGAAGCAGCAGGCAUAGGUCCGUACUGUAGAACCUAUAAAAAGGAGAUGGUUGUGGCACGAAGUACUCUUGUGCACCUACGUCAUUCGGCUCGCGUGCAAGCCCGCCUACUUAUAUUAUGGAAGAAUUGAGCUUAUUCUUGGGCUAGCUUUUCAGAGCCAGCAAUUGGCUGUCGAAAUUCGUUCCGCAACUAGAAGAAGACCACUUCGGGAUCACUGUUGUGUGGCUGAAUGUAUAGCAGUCCGUCUUUACGGCUUUGAUUAGUAAAUAAUUAAGAACUUCGGAAGACGGUCAAAGUAGCUUGCUUCCAAGUCACUGCACUAGAUGGACAUGUAGUCGCAGUAGUCGGCCCAAAAUGCCUCUCUUCUUUACUAAAAUACUAUUUCGUAACCUUCCUUAUCUUUAUUUUAUUGAUACAGCCUAUACCUAUUUCCUCUUGCUUCGCCCGGCCGGGCCUCUACCUCAUAAAAAAUCCUGUUUAGGAAGCUAGCACCCGCUCUCGCUCAAAUAUACGUGUAGGGGGAAGCACCAAUGAAAGUGAACCUUUAUUGCUUCCUUUUCUCUUUGAACCGAUUAGAAGGAAGGCAAUAGCUCCUCCUACAUACGAGUAUGUAGAUCCUGAACUAAGGUAUGAUUAUGAACAUCAUUGACAUCAGUCUUUUUGGAUUAUGGGUGACAGGUGAAUGCCAAAGUCCGAAAAGCAUGAGCAGUAAACUAUGCUCGAUUAGGAGUAUACAUAUAACCACAUCGUGUGUAAAAUUUUGAUAAAAUUGUCAAUGAAACAAUACAUACAUGUUCAUGAUCUCAACAAAGUGAGAUAUAUGAAACCAAAAACCUAGUGGGAAGAAUUCACGAGCCAAGUGGCAUGGGUUGGACCGACAAUCUAAACUUGGUUGAUUUAUGCAAUCUAGGAACGCAAUUGACACAUUAGAAAGUGAAUAUGGGUAUUGAAGAGUUCUUUUUCCUAGACCAAAUAGGCCAAGAUUACCAGCCCACUUCGAUUGUAGUAACUGGAAAUCUGAAAACUUUGCAUUUGUCAAGGUCAUGGUUAACAUAUUCGAACGGAACGAAGUAAACAUAGAACUCAAAUAUUUUCCCAUGGAGCAGAGUAGGAACCAAAACCUUUCCCUCUGUUGAUUCAGAAUAACAUGCAUUGCAUGAAUAAACUAAGGACAAAGAACAAAUGCCUUAGAAUUAUAGUUUAAAAUAGUCGACUCAGUAGAUUGGACUGCUUGAUGUGCAUGCUGUACUCAAUCUCACCAAAAAUUAACUGAUGGAAGCCUUCACUGUAGGAACUUAAUGCAGCAGAAACUGUUGAAGUUGAAACUGGACUAUUAGAAUCAUAUGCACAAAAUGGGAAUAUGGACAUGCAAGAAAACAUGCACACACUUUAGCGACUUCCAAUACGUAAGAGGCCCCAACCUUGUGGUAUAUUGAUUUAGCAUGGUAUUUCUGUAUUGUAUCGACUGAACUACACGCUUUGUCCAAAUACUCAACUGCUAGCCUUUACUCCCUUCAAACAUACGUCUGUAUAUAUGUAAGCACUUGUCUUUUGUUCCUUGUAAAGUUUUGGUACACUGCUGAGGUUCUAGUUAGUAUAGAUGGUUGUAUGUCUUUCAUAGAGAAACCAUGUUUUUGUACAGGUUCUCUACUUUUUGCAUACCACUUCUUUACCUAGAGAUUUCCGACUACAUUGAUACAAUUAUUAUCUUAUUGUGAUUUAUAAAAUUAAAACAACAACACGCACCUCAACUUCAAGUUCUGAAAGUACAUGCUUGCAAGGAGACCUACUAGUCAAUAUGAACUACAAUUCGAAUCGCCAUAAUCUUGCAGCUAAGCCAAAGCAGGAGUUAAUUAUAUUGUGUGAAAAAUUGGGAACUAGUGAUAGAAGAUAUUGCAACAAGCAUCAAGUAGCAAGAAAAACGUCUAAUCCAUCAAAGACAAAGUAGCCCGUAUAUUACUGCUUGCAGAGAAUUUAAACAGUAAUAUCAUAAUAAUCCUCAUCUUCACUCUGAAGCAUUUAAUCUUGUAUCAUUACGAGCCUUAUUUUGCACAAUUUUGAGCUCACAAUUCAAUUGUCCUAGAGUCUACAUUCACGUAUCCAUGAAAAGCAUGAGACACAAGAAUCAACUGCUUCCUACUAAGCUUUCUUUUUAUUGAGGAGUAUUAUGAAAGAGAAGAAAAUAUUAGGUGUUGUUGCUAAAAGUAAAGUCUCGACCAUUUCAGCAUGUGUCUUGAAUAUAGAUUUCAGUUUGGCAAGACCAUUUUCAGUUAACACAGGCAAUUGCCAGAUUGUACAGGAGAAGUGACGCACAUGUGUUGCAGAAGCCAAUGGGCAUAGGCUUGCAAAUAUGGAGUAAUUCACCAUGGGAAGGUUAAAGUUAGUAGUAUAUUAUCAUGCAAAUCCUAAGCCGAAGGUCUUCCGGAGACGGCCUCUCUGCCUUCUUGAAGGUAGGGGUAAGGUCUGCUUACAUUUAUCCUCCCCAUACUCCACUUGUGCGAAUACACUGGGUUUGUUGUUGUAUUAUCAUGCAAAUUUGGGCAGCUAGUUAUAACUUGCAGGGUUUCAGAAAUGUAAAAGUUCUACCAAUAAGUAAGCAGAAAUUUCAGAAGAUCAUUAGUCUAAGACCUGUAUUGAUGGCUGGGAAAGGUAAAAGAACAACUACGCCUCACUUGUACACUAGCUUAGGUCAGCUAUAUGAAUCCUCUAUAUCCAUUAAGCUAAGAGGGAUUUUGAAAAUGCCACAUAUGAUAGCAAAAAGUCGGUGUGGCCCUCAUUGAGCAAAAUCAUCAUACCUAGACUUGAAAUGUCUGAAGGAUUACCAUGUGCUGCAUUUGUUUUGCUAGAGCUUCAAGUGGCACAACUUGACCUUGUUAUGGGGGGAGUCCUUGUUUUCCUUUCUACUUGUGAUAGAGAUGAGCUCGUCAAAGCAACACAUAUUCCAAGGUUUGUGCUUGUCAUUGUGUCGCUUCAGUGAACAUCAUUACCCGCACUAGUGCUGCUAGUACAUAUGGGACUGCUGGUUUCUUUUUUAUUGAGCAUGGGAAUAUUGUUAUGAAUCAGCCUCAACCCACUAUUGGGCUGAAAAGAGCUAUUAGGCCGAGAAGAAGCCAGAGGACUAGAAGGCCUUUAAAAAUGUUAAUUUGGGAUCUAGGCACAAGAGGUGCUGUCAGGGAUUGGUUAAAAGGGACUAGUGGUUAGCAAGGAGGUUAUGCAAGUUAUUGUGAGAAAUUCCCCUCUCCUGGUCUCUCUC
rnacentral:lncRNA from 1 species